UGGACAUGACCACGAGAACGAGAGGAAGUUGUCGCUACCAUUCUUUCUGCUCGUCGUCGCCGAAAAACGGAGAACCAGUCGGGUUGACCCGCUGACUCUGUUCGGGUCGGGGAUGACCCGGUCUGGGUCUGAACUGAUUUUUUUCCCCUCCUUUCCCGAACCUUCCUUUCCUCCUUUUAAUCUGUUGCUUAGGUCGGUUUAACCGACCCCUCUAGAACCUCCCUCUUUCUCUUUUAUAUAUAUAUAUCAUUUACCGAGAUAGUAACUUCCCAUUUGUAGACCAUAACUUUCUCAUACAAACUCCGAUUUAAGCGUGCCACGUGUCCACGAUCUCGUAUUAACGUCCUCUACGACUUCCAUGCAGGAAGUUUUCCCAAAUUAUCGACUUAACAAAAAGUCAACUUUUUGGGUCUUUUACGGUAAAACGGUUACAAGAAACAAUAAUUGAAAAUUUCCUGGAAACUUUAUAAUUCAAAGAACCUAGCUCGUCGCUCCGGAAAAUAAUCCGGGCAUACCGGUGAGCUCGUAUAAACAUGUACCACGACUUCGGAGUUUUAAAUCUACUAUUUACCGUUUUUAGAAAAACUCAAGUAAUCACUAUUUAAAUCUCUGAAUGCGAAUAAAGAAAAGUCCGCGGUAACUCAUAACCCCGAACAGUAACCUUUUAGGUACGGGGUAUUACAACAAUUAAAACUAAUUAAACUCUUCUUUUGCUUUUCUUCAAAAAGGAAAGACGAUGGUCCUUCUUGAAUUCUGCUUCUGAAGAAGGUCUUCCCGAUGGUGUAACUUUAUAAAUUUAACUUGUAAUAAAAUUAUAUAGAUAAAUUUAUUUAAUUAAUUGAUUUUGUUUUUUAAUUUUGUUAGUUUCCAUGUCACUUGCCAACUCAUAUCCGUAGUUAAUAACAACCAUUUGAUCCACUUAAAUCUAAGGGAUAUAAAUUAGUGUAAAAAACUGUGUCAAAUAUAGUGUCCCCUGAUCAAGACCCAAAUAAAUAUUAAUGAUAUAUGCAUAUAUAUAUAUAUGUAGUUGUAAGGAUGUUUUGCAUGUAUUUUAACAAUCAAAGUCACUCAUUGCCUAAUUACUUACCC
rnacentral:lncRNA from 1 species